rnacentral:rRNA from 1 species
UACGAAGGGGGCUAGCGUUGCUCGGAAUCACUGGGCGUAAAGGGUGCGUAGGCGGGUCUUUAAGUCAGGGGUGAAAUCCUGGAGCUCAACUCCAGAACUGCCUUUGAUACUGAGGAUCUUGAGUUGGGGAGAGGUGAGUGGAACUGCGAGUGUAGAGGUGAAAUUCGUAGAUAUUCGCAAGAACACCAGUGGCGAAGGCGGCUCACUGGCCCGAUACUGACGCUGAGGCACGAAAGCGUGGGGAGCAAACAGG